AUGACCAAAUGUCUCUGUUUUCCAGUCCAACAGGAGUGCAUCUCUCAGACCAUCUGGGGCAUGGACAUCCUGUACCAGUCUGAUCCGAGCAGGAGUAUCCAUUUGUACAGCACAUCGAGCCUGUGGACGGACAGGUCAGUAAAUACAUCAAAUAUAAUACAAUAUUGUGUAAAACAUGGCAUUUGUAGAUGCAUCAACAUUUUAACUUUAUGUCCCCUUUUCCCCAUUAUUUUAGACAUGAGGUGUGACAUGUGGAACAUCAGGCACACCCCACGACAAGGAGUGCAUGAUCAACACCACUCUCAGCAAGGAGAUCUGCUGGAAGGUACUGGCAGGAGGAGCAAUAUGGGUGAGGUCGUCGUGCUGGAUGGUGAUGGAGGCUUUGGUGGUCCACACAACAAAGAAGCAGGUGUUCCUUCCUGUGAUGUGGAGCUGACCUUUGACCUGGUGCCAGUGAGGGAGGUCUUCCCUCCUUGAUUUAAAAAUCCUCAGACUUCACUGCCUCUUCAAUGGUAAGGUCCCUUGCACCAUAGGGACACUUGAUCUACACCACUGCUGUGGUACACCAGUAGGCGCCCAAGAGCCCCCGACCAAAGCCCUGACUCCUGCACAUCCAUCCCUGUAGCCAUUUUGAAUGCCUUGAUGCCCUCCUCUUCAUUAUCGGGUUAUCAUAGUUGGGGUUGUUGCGCUAUCCAACUGUUGCCUGCCGUAUAGCCUCCUGCUGCUACACUGACAGCGCCAUGCCAGCCAGGAUGCCUGCAUGCCCUUGUUUUUUAAACAUUUUUAAACAAUGUCCGGUACAGACAGGGAUCACAGGGAGGAUAGCGGUUGUUCUGGCUCAGGUUCAAGGAGACAUGCUAUUCCACUGAACCUGCCACGAAGAUGGUUCCUUAGCCAUUGAAGAUCCUCCUCUGUGGGCUCUUGGGACAGAGGGUUGUAGUCUUCGACUGGGUACAGGUCCUCCACUGACUGUACCUGGUUGGGCACGGCUGUCUUCCUCCACUCGCAUUCCACGUCCGUACGGCCGUUAUUGUGAACCGCCAAAAUUGGCUGCAUCGCUACACUUACGAGCUCCACGGAGGCGUUUGCAUGUGGUAGAGAGAGUGCCCUGGUCACUUAUAGAGACCUGCCAAGAUGAAGGAUGUUAAGUGCCACACGCCUUUCAAUACAUGACUUUAAACACCUUGAAAUGCAUUCGUUGUAAGAAAUGUGAUAUAUAAAUAGUUUGAUUUGAUUAAUGACAUUACAGCUGUACAAUAUUUAAUAAACUGUAAUUGCAGUGCAGGUUUUCCAUAAACCUUUAAUUGAUAACUUGGGAUUUUAUCAUUUGACAUCAAUCAUAUAGUGGGAAGGAUCCUAUAAAUCUAGACUGUAUGAACACAUGUACCACUUCGAAUAAAUAAAUACUGUGCUUUUGAAGAUUUGCCUCCGGUUAUGAGACUACAAUACAGGCUGGAUGUCUAAACAAAGUCAGUUCUGAAUGGCAAUAGAUGUUUUGAUUCAUUCUCAGCAAUGACAACAUUCUAGAACUGAGAUAUCACUCAUCUAAGUCUGGUAUCCGGGGUAAUAUGGUUAAUGAUUAUAUAACUGAUUAAGUGGC
rnacentral:lncRNA from 1 species